UGUAAUAUUCGUACAUUUUCAAUCAAAUUUGAACAAUUUACAAGUAUAGAAUUCCAGCCCUUAAUCAAAACUAGUGUAAAUAUCAUCAUAAUACAUAUAACAUGAUUUUCUGCACAAGCAAAACAACCAAUCGGUAAGCCUUCAUCUCUAAAAAUAUUCUUUGUUGCUUGAACCAUGCCAGUCAGUGUACUUUGAUGGUUCAUAUUAGCUUCUUUGAAGGAAAACUCAUGAAGUUGUUAGCUCCAGUUGAACCUACAAAGACAACAUGAAUAUAAGCAUACAUCACAGGACAAGCGAGUCCAACUCGCUUAAAGAGGGUACAACAUGAAUGUAUAGCAAACAGUCACAUAAAAUUUUAGUCUAUAGCAAGCAUAGAAGAAUGAAAAACAAUAAACUCAAAGCAUUGUUUCAGAACCUUAGAAGGUUGACUAACAUGUUUGUUUAAAGGUGCAAGCAGAAAUAACCUUGUCGAGCACGUUCCCCCAAAGUUAUAUAUUUUGUGGAUACAUAAAUCUUUCAAUUAUUCAAUCUUCCAACAUCGAAGAAAUGGAAAGACAAUUUCCUCGAGACCAUGUUUACUU
rnacentral:lncRNA from 1 species